GUUGAGGUUAGAGCUGGGGUAAGGGUUGAGGUUAGAGCUGGGGUAAGGUUUGAGGUUAGAGCUGGGGUAAGGUUUGAGGUUAGAGCUGGGGUUAGGGGUGAGGUUAGAGCUGGGGUAAGGUUUGAGGUUAGAGCUGGGGUAAGAGUUGAGGUUAGAGCUGGGGUAAGAGUUGAGGUUAGAGCUGGGAUUAGGGGUGAGGUUAGAGCUGGGGUUAGGGGUGAGGUUAGAGCUGGGGUAAGGUUUGAGGUUAGAGCUGGGGUUAGGGGUGAGGUUAGAGCUGGGGUUAGGGGUGAGGUUAGAGCUGGGGUAAGGGUUGAGGUUAGAGCUGGGGUUAGGGGUGAGGUUAGAGCUGGGGUAAGAGUUGAGGUUAGAGCUGGGGUUAGGGGUGAGGUUAGAGCUGGGGUAAGAGUUGAGGUUAGAGCUGGGAUAAGGUGUUGAGGUUAGAGCUGGGGAUAAGGUGUUGAGGUUAGAGCUGGGGUAAGGGUUGAGGUUAGAGCUGGGGUAAGAGUUGAGGUUAGAGCUGGGGUAAGAGUUGAGGUUAGAGCUGGGGUAAGGGUUGAGGUUAGGGCUGGAGUAAGGCUUGAGGUUAGAGCUGGGGUAAGGGUUGAGGUUAGAGCUGGGGUAAGAGUUGAGGUUAGAGCUGGGGUAAGGCUUGCGGUUAGAGCUGGGGUAAGGGUUGAGGUUAGAGCUGGGGUAAGAGUUUAGGUUAGAGCUGGGGUAAGGCUUGAGGUUAGAGCUGGGGUAAGGUUUGAGGUUAGGGCUGGAGUAAGGGCUUUAUGUUUAUUGUUAUUUGUUUCACAGUUUCAAGAUGGGAUCUUACCUCUUGUCUGGGGGUGGGGGUCUGGGUGGGCCUGUGGUUGGGGUUGAGGCUGGAGCUGUACUUGUAGCUGACACUACAGGUCUGGGUAGAGAAGGGCCUUGAGGCCUUGGGGCUGUAGCUGGACCUGGAGUUGGGACUGUUGAGGCUGGAGCUGUACUUGUAGCUGACACUACAGGUCUGGGUAGAGAAGGGCCUUGAGGCCUUGGGGCUGUAGCUGGACCUGGAGUUGGGACUGUUGAGGCUGGAGCUGUACUUGUAGCUGACACUACAGGUCUGGGUAGAGAAGGGCCUUGAGGCCUUGGGGCUGUAGCUGGACCUGGAGUUGGGACUGUUGUGGCUGGAGCUGUACUUGUAGCUGACACUACAGGUCUGGGUAGAGAAGGGCCUUGAGGCCUUGGGGCUGUAGCUGGACCUGGAGUUGGGACUGUUGUGGCUGGAGCUGUACUUGUAGCUGACACUACAGGUCUGGGUAGAGAAGGGCCUUGAGGCCUUGGGGCUGUAGCUGGACCUGGAGUUGGGACUGUUGUGGCUGGAGCUGUACUUGUAGCUGACACUACAGGUCUGGGUAGAGAAGGGCCUUGAGGCCUUGGGGCUG
rnacentral:lncRNA from 1 species